ensembl:snRNA U6 U6 spliceosomal RNA
GUGCCACUUCAGCAGCAUAUCUACUAAAAUUGGAGCAGUACAGAGAUUAGCACAGCUUCUGCUCAAUGAGAACACACAAAUUUGUGAAGUAUUUCAUAUUGAA